CUGAUGGAGGAGAACUAAGAAAAUGAAUCAAAUUAUGAAUUUACUCAUACCACAGUGGAAACAAAGGGAACAAGGAUCUGUUUCUCCCUAUGUUACUAAGCAGUCUCUUUCCAGGUAUCCAUCCAGCCAAUGGGGGACGGAACUGAAGGUGCUAUUAUUGCAAUAAGUCUGAACAUGUAUAGAGGGACUGCUAUGAACUGCAGCAAAAGUAACAAAUCUACACAUCAGCUUUCCAAGGUGACAAGAUUCAUGUCGUCUCCCUCUUCUCUCCGGGAGCUAAGAAGCAACUCCACUGGGUUUGAUGGAGGAACUGAGACAGGCUGAUUCCGAGAUUCACCGAGGGUCAUACAGCUACUGCCCAAGAUAGGAUACAAAGUUGGGACUCUUGACUUGAAGUCUAAG